rnacentral:rRNA from 1 species
GAUGAACGCUGGCGGCGUGCCUAACACAUGCAAGUCGAGCGAUGAAGUUUCCUUCGGGAAACGGGUUAGCGGCGGACGGGUGAGUAACACGUGGGUAACCUGCCUCAUAAUGGGGGAUAGCCUUUCGAAAGGAAGAUUAAUACCGCAUAACAUCAUUAAAUGGCAUCAUUUAAUGAUCAAAGGAUUUAUUCGUUAUGAGGUGGACCCGCGUCGCAUUAGCUAGUUGGUAAGGUAAUGGCUUACCAAGGCGACGAUGCGUAGCCGACCUGAGAGGGUGAGCGGCCACAUUGGGACUGAGACACGGCCCAGACUCCUACGGGAGGCAGCAGUGGGGAAUAUUGCACAAUGGGGGAAACCCUGAUGCAGCAACGCCGCGUGAGUGAUGACGGUCUUCGGAUUGUAAAGCUCUGUCUUUGGGGACGAUAAUGACGGUACCCAAGGAGGAAGCCACGGCUAACUACGUGCCAGCCGCCGCGGUAA